rnacentral:lncRNA from 1 species
GGAGUUAAAAGAGGUGCUUUGGAUUCUACCACCUGACACGUUUACCUGUGUUCCUACCCACAACAUCUAACACCAUGAGACAGCGAGAGAUUACAAGCAGGGGGAGCAGCAUAGGAAGAAGGCAAAGCAGGCUCCCCGCUAAGCAGAGAGCCUGAUGUGGGACUCGAUCCACAGGACCGGAGCUGGAAGCAGAGGCUUCACUGACUGAACCACCCAGGAGCCUCUGGACAUUUUUAAACAUAUAAGCUUUUAGGCCAUGUGAAUACACUAUGUAUUCAAAAAAAUUAAUUCUCC